rnacentral:rRNA from 1 species
AACGAACGCUGGCGGCAUGCCUAACACAUGCAAGUCGAACGAACCCUUCGGGGUUAGUGGCGCACGGGUGCGUAACGCGUGGGAAUCUGCCCUUUGCUUCGGAAUAACUCAGGGAAACUUGUGCUAAUACCGGAUGAUGUCUUCGGACCAAAGAUUUAUCGGCAAGGGAUGAGCCCGCGUAGGAUUAGGUAGUUGGUGGGGUAAAGGCCUACCAAGCCGACGAUCCUUAGCUGGUCUGAGAGGAUGAUCAGCCACACUGGGACUGAGACACGGCCCAGACUAUUACGGGAGGGGGCAGUGGGGAAUAUUGGACAAUGGGCGCAAGCCUGAUCCAGCAAUGCCGCGUGAGUGAUGAAGGCCCUCGGGUCGUAAAGCUCUUUUACCAGGGAUGAUAAUGACAGUACCUGGAGAAUAAGCUCCGGCUAACUCCGUG